CACCUGCCCCUUGGUGCCCAAAGUGCCCUUUUGUCAAAGAAAAAAUUCCUCUCAUUUUUUUUAUUUAUUAAAGGCCCUUUUGUGAAUGCCUGCCUAUGCCAAAUCUAAAUAUUAGUAAAAUGUAUGAUUAAUAAUUUAGCCUUAAAUAAAAUGAUCCAGAUGAUGACCUUUCACCUGACGACGACCUCAUCCGACCGGGACUAUUCCUCACGCCGCACGGCCGCAGCACGCGCAUUUUUUAAUUACCGGAAGAUAUCUUCAACACCGCGACCGCGGCAGCUGCAAAGACCACUAUUCAGAGAUGCUUUAAAGGAGGAGAUAAUUCCAAAUGGGAAAUAUUGCAUGCCUUCCAUUGCCUGACAGUCCCAGAGAACUGGAAAACAGCUAGCAUUCCAACAGCAGAACUCCAAGCUGUGAAGAAACUGUGCCAGUUCUACAAUAUUGAAGAUGAAGACAAAUUGCAGACAGAAUUGAAGCUCUUGGUGUGCAGCAGCCUCUGUGAGCAUCUCCCUCUUAUUUUCUUGGAGCAGUCAGCCUUGGCAGUCUCUCAGAUCAACUCCAGUAUUAGCAGCAGCAACAACAACAGCAAAGGCAGCAUACUCACUCAAGGAAUAUAGUGUCUGUAUGAUUUGAGGCUCCUCCCCCCAGUUUAGGAGGUUUAAACUAUAAUCUGGAUUUGGAGGGCAAUAAUUAGGGAGAGAGAAGCUGCAAGAGAGUUCAGAUGACAUCACAGUCUUCUUUAAUGCAAAUGAGUAAAAUAUUAGUUGUAUUAAUAUUAUUAUGAUGUUUAUGAAUGUAAUGCAUCAGUCACUGUGUUUACACAUUUAUACAGUAAAUAACACUGUCAGAUCAUUUGAUAUGAAUCAGUGUGAUAUUAAAUAUAUACAGUAUAAAUGAAGAUGUUUCAUGCAUUAAUGACUAUAAAUCACUCAAAUCAACAUCUCUUGAAUAUUUAUCCACACACAUGUGUUAUUAAAAACAAGUUUAAAUGUGAUUUACAACAGGGGCGGAUCUACCGGGGUGGCAAAUGCCACCCUAAAAGAAUACCUUGCCACCCCUGCUGCCACCCCAG